UAUUUGCCUAGCUGCUCCCAUGUUAGAGCCUUGUCAGGAACCCAGGACGUGCCCUCACGCAGUUUACGCCCUGCUUGUGUGGGUAUCACCACACCUUGUUUAACCACACCGAUAAGCACCCUUGGAAACUCACUGUUUAACUCAUCGAACUUUGGACUUUGCGGAAAUGAACAAACUUCAGAGUCUACUUCUUGCUAACCCUGCUGGUGACUGUGUUUGGAAGCCAUUUUCCCAAAUUUGCUUUGUACCUAAACGCUGUCUGCAACUGUUGUUACUGAAUACCUACUACGCGUUCAUCAUCACUGGUUGUCAUGGAAACAAAGAUGCCUCAGGAAUUUAGAUGAGAAUGGAGGAAAUGCAUGCAAACAGAAUUUGAAUCAAUGUGUUCCGUGUUUUUUAAAAAGUGUGAAAUAGCUGCUCAAGAAGCCCCAAAGAGGUAACAAGUAGCUCAUUCAGGAAGGCUUCUUGAGGAGGUGACUUUUUUUUUUUAAUUUUUUUUUUCAACAUUUAUUUAUUUUUGGGACAGAGAGAGACAGAGCAUGAACGGGGGAGGGGCAGAGAGAGAGAGGGAGACACAGAAUCGGAAACAGGCUCCAGGCUCUGAGCCAUCAGCCCAGAGCCCGACGCGGGGCUCGAACUCCCGGACCGCGAGAACGUGACCUGGCUGAAGUCGGACGCUUCACCGACUGCGCCACCCAGGCGCCCCAGAGGAGGUGACUUUUGAAUAGGUUUUGAAAGAUGAGUAGGAGUUUUCCAGGUAAAAAACGUAGCAAAAGAGGAAGAGGAGGAAAUUUCUAACACAUCAGCACAGGUGAAGGUAGAAAAUUGUAUAAGAAAAUAAGUACAACUCAAAGAUCUACCUGGCCAAAGUAGGAACACUGAGGGCCGUGUUCCUGAACUGGAUAAAAUCUCUUCAACUCGCUCCCCCUAUUUCUACUUCAGGAAAAUCAGCUGCUAGUUCCCGCCUCCUCCGUCUCUGGAGAAGUUUGUGGCUUUUGCAGAGUUGAUCUUGCCCAAGGGGAGAAGGAGCAGUGUAUGGAAAAGAUGCCAAGAGCGGCAGAGAGGAGAUAAGAGAUGAGAGGUCAGGGGAUCUGAGCACUCACGGACAACUCUGGGUGGUGCCCAGCCAGCCUGGCCUGCGGCUGGGGCCUUCGGCAUGAAGUGAUGGCAUAAUAUUUUGUACACGUGUUCUGAGUCAGUCUUUGGGAAGAGGGUCAGGUGGGUGAAGUUUACUCUUGUCAUUUCCUCAGCCCCCUUAGCACACUGUUCUCAUCUCUUCUCGCUCCCUCCAUCACCCAGCCCCGUUAAUAUAAGAGCAGAGUCUGAUUCACACCCGAAUUAAAAUAAAAAAUAGAAACAAAUAAAACA
rnacentral:lncRNA from 1 species